GCUAAGAGGUUUUCUUCUCUAGUGUAGCUCUGUGACUUUGGAACCAUAGCUACCUGGCGAAGAAUUGCCCUUUCA
rfam:Branchiostoma floridae genomic scaffold BRAFLscaffold_18, whole genome shotgun sequence.